CCGGUACGGAAUUAGACCCAGCCCGUUGUAGGCUAGAAAAUAGUUCUUUGAAAUUUUGAAGUGCCCUAUUUCAAGUCAUUUUUAAUGUGACUGGUUACAUUUUAAGUGUAUUUAUUGUAACAGUGUACAUUUAGUGUCAUUUCUGAUGACUUUAAAAGUUGCUUUUUUGUGUAUUCUGCAGGAUCUCAUUUCUUGGUGGAAGGAUUCGAGAAGUACUACACGCCAGCAUACAUGACAUUUGAAACUUUGAUAAUUUGACAGUGACUUAACAAAUUAAGAAAUAUUGUGAAAUCUAGAUGGCUAACAUAGGACAUUUCGGGCUUCGACUAACUUGUCUAGUGUUGAUGUUUAAAGUUAUGAAAUACAGAAUUCUGCUGAGUUUAAUAGAAGUCCAUAAUGAAGCUUUAAAUGUGACAGAUUUACUAUAGAUUAAAGAAGGGCGAAAAUGGACAAGGCCGUGUCCUAAAUAAGAAAUAUGAAAAAUGGGAACUGGUUGAUGGAUAUGGAUGAAACUUUGCAUCAGUGUUAUGUUUAUGAAUAGAAAUCAGGAAAAUAAAGGAUAACUGACAGAGAAAUGCAUCUUAAAUUAUGGAUAAACCAUGCAUAGCAAGGAAUUGGGGAGUGCAUGUUUUCAGGCUGGUUACAUUGGCAAAAAGGUGAUUGGCAAGCUCAUUCCAGAGGUCUUAGGGGCCCAAGAAGCACCGGCCAUGGGAUUCGAACAAGCACCAUAGUAGCCUAUUGCACAUAUGGACCACACAUUAUAUGCACUGAUGUUUCAGCAAAGAGUUGAUGCUGCAGUAAUCAGAUUACCAUGCAGUUACCAAAGCCGGGGUGACCUUACCUUAUAUACUGGUUAAGAUCUAUGGAAGAACUCCUACAGCUCAGUUUGGCAGCAGAUUUGUCAGGACAAGAUGAGUAGGAUCUCAUUUCUUGGUGGAAGGAUUCGAGAAGUACUACACGCCAGCAUACAUGACAUUUGAAACUUUGAUAAUUUGACAGUGACUUAACAAAUUAAGAAAUAUUGUGAAAUCUAGAUGGCUAACAUAGGACAUUUCGGGCUUCGACUAACUUGUCUAGUGUUGAUGUUUAAAGUUAUGAAAUACAGAAUUCUGCUGAGUUUAAUAGAAGUCCAUAAUGUAGCUAUAAAUGUGACAGAUUUACUAUAGAUUAAAGAAGGGCGAAAAUGGACAAGGCCGUGUCCACGUGUGAUACUAUUCGCCGGUCACUAGUAAAUCCCGGUCAAAAUAGACCGGGAGAGACCGGGAAUUACCGAUAGGAGUACAUCCCUCUAUAAAUAGAUUUUCGGAAUGUUUAGGUCAUCAACUCAUUCCCUGCGGUCUGGAGACCGCAGGGUAUUGGUACGCGUUUAACUUUUGAGGCAUGGAGGAGCACGUGACCUGUUUUCAGCACAUUGAGGAGCAUGUGAUCUGUAAACCGUACAUGAUUGGUUAAUUGACCUUUUUGAAAACCUGGCUAAAUACCGUUUGCCGGUACGUUACGGAUUUACCUCUAGGGAAUUAGUCAGAGUAACACCUAAUAAAGAACAAACAGCUAUUACGUGAUAUUUCUAAUUUUCUAUAAUCAUUUUACCGUUUAAGGUGGAAAAACUUGAAUGAUGUGUUUGAAAAUUAUCAAUGUUUCUUUAAUAUGUAUCUCAAAUUUUACAAACAAUUAAUUGUUUACACUGAAAAUCUACAAAAUUAAAAUAUUCGUAGUGGCAUCUGCCAGAAUAAAUAGAGAUAUUUUCUGCGUAAACUUGUGUGUUUACUUCUUUUGCUCGGAAUAAUUCAAACAAUGGUGGGCCUAUUUAAUUAUUUUCUUAAAAAGAAAUAAUUGUUUUAUGUUCGACCUUCUCCGGUCAUCAACCGUCACCAGUUUCCAAAGACCUUCUUCUAUAUUGAUCGAUUAUUGUCAACUAGAGCCUCGUUACAGCCGCAAACAGUUACCCUCGAGCUAGAUAUUCCGGUCUGUACCGACAGCCAGUGUAAGAUUCUUAUAGGUUCAAAUCCUAGUCGAGGCAAUUUUAUUUUUUUUGAAGUGUCUUUUUAUUUGUUUGGGUCGUCAGACCAAACAAAUAAUGGUAGCGAAAUUUCAGACUCUAAUGCUGUUAAUUGCAAGUGCCGAAAGUAGUCCGCUUUUUUGAAGCGGUUACUUCCCUUU